AUGCUAACAUCUCAGAGAUGACUUGGUUAGC
rnacentral:piRNA from 1 species